UACGAAGGGUGCAAGCGUUAAUCGGAAUUACUGGGCGUAAAGCGUGCGUAGGCGGUUUGUUAAGUCUGUUGUGAAAUCCCCGGGCUCAACCUGGGAAUGGCAAUGGAUACUGGCAAGCUAGAGUGUGAUAGAGGAUGGUGGAAUUCCCGGUGUAGCGGUGAAAUGCGUAGAGAUCGGGAGGAACAUCAGUGGCGAAGGCGGCCAUCUGGAUCAACACUGACGCUGAGACACGAAAGCGUGGGGAGCAAACAGG
rnacentral:rRNA from 1 species